ensembl:lncRNA
AUUGAGUGUAAAGUCUCCACCACGGAGGCUCAGGUUAGUUUCUUCUCAUGAAGGUUUCAUCAGGAUGGUUUUGUGUGAAUACACACGUGUGCUUAAAAGCAUCUUUAUUGCACUUUAUUGUAUAAUACUGAUAAGAUAGAGACUGCAUGCUCUUCUUCUCUGAACAGGAGGUAUUAUAAAAGAUACCACACUCAAUGCCACUGCGCUGUCUGUCAAAUGAAAGGAAGCUAGCGGCACUUUAGCUUAGCUUAAAGACGCGAGACUGUUCACAAGGUUAAAAAAAAAUCCAAUCUGCCAGUAACUUUAUCUCUAAUACAGCCGUAAAUGAAUGUACACAAAUCAUUUUACCAUUGAGGUACUUUCCUUUCCUGCAAGAUACUUCUUCAAUAUAUAUGUGGAGACUCAUAUUCAUUUUGUAACCCAACAGAAAAGUCCCUACAGAUGUCCCCACUAUGUCAGUAACAAGGACACACACACAAACACACUGUCAGUUGUCACUUGACGCUUCAAUCCACCACACAGCCAGCUGUCACUCACCCUGACAGCCAUAUUGUUAGUGGUAGCCCAGAAACAAAAUGGCUUCCAGUGGCGUGUGUCAGGAGGUGUCACGGUGCCCUGACAACACAUCCUGUGUGUGUGUGUGUGUGUGUGUGUGUGUGUGUGUUACAUCAUCCAUGUGUCCAUUCAAGGUACUGAGUUGAAGUCACUUCUGAAACAGUCUCCUUAUAAAAGAUGUUCCUCCAUUAAUUGUCUCAAAAGAUGCUUAAACAUUAAACAACUGUCCACUGCACAAAGAAAAGAAAAACUGACGGUUGUUUUAAUAAAUUAUACCAUGUUACAACACGAUCUGAUCAACAUUUAGUAGUCAUAUCUUAAGUAAAUUCAUUUUUUGUCUUAGAUGCAAAUUAUUCCUAUUGCUGCAGAACCUGCUUGAGGAUCUUCUAGCUUGUAAGUUUCUUUCAGUUAAAAAGUCAACCAGUGACGCUCGUCUGCGUAACUCGGUGUUAAAAUGCUAAUGUUAGCUAUCACCCAAUGAAUUAUUCAUCAUUGAGACGUUACUUUAUGUGAUAUUACUGUUGAUACUACGCUAUACUGUAUUAUUUUACAGUAUAGCUGUAGUAUAUUUAUAUCUUAAUUAGUGUUCUAUUAAAUUGUCUUUUUUCGGCAGCUGAGUUUAAAGUCUAGACAACAUUUUCAAUAAUAUCUACAAUGUAAAGGUCUGGGUGUCUCGAUAGCCGCCACGAUGAUCAUCUUCAUCCAUUAUCAGCUCAGGCAAAGUAUUUGGGAGGAUUCUCAAUCGCUGCUGUUCUUUGGGGCGGUUUCUGAAGCUUGUACCAUCUGAAAGUGUUUUUGGGGAAUUCAGUCCAGAGCAGAGCGAAUCUGUAUUUUACUCUCAACCCACAGCUUCAAGGUUCCUUCUUCUGUCUCUGAGGUCCUGAAGCGGAGCCAGGACCACCGAGGGGGAGCUGCCUUCUCGCAACCCUCCCCGGCUACCUACGACCGCAUCGCGAGCCACAGCUGGAAUAGGUGGGGGGGGGGGGGGGGGGGCACGCUGGGAGACGGAGUCCCCCAGCCCGGCGGCUGUGUUAGCGCCGGUUCGGUAGUCCGAUUCCCACGGGCGCUCAUUAAAAAGCCGCCGCUCACAAAAGUGCACCUGCCGGCGGCCAAUGAGACGCUGCCCCACGGCCCACACAGGUCCCGCCCACACAGGAAGCAGCACUAACAGGCUCGGUAACAACGUUAACCUGGGGUGUCAGCGAUGUAAAUGAAUAGAUGAAUUACAGGAUGUUACUCCUCUACUGGAAGAAGGUCUUCCUCACACGAGGAGGAGUGCAGGUCUCCAUCACAGGUGAUCAAAUACACUUUCACCUCCAGACCGCCGCAUGGAUUAUAUAAAGUACGGAUUGUGUUAUCUGGUGUCAAGGAAUGUAGAGCGGAAACAAGCACCAGUGAAACACAGAUUAAAUAUCUAAUAUAGAUUAACCACUAGAGAGGAAGUUAAAGGGUUAGAAGCCGGCGCACCCUCUCUACUCCAUGCGCCACCGUCGACCCGCUUUACUGGAGAGCGAAGGCGUGUCGGGUUUGGAAGAAAAGAAUCUGCUGAAAGUUAUUCAUCCACCUGUUGGGAAAAACGCUCUGUUGGUCUGUGAAGAUAAAAAAUGAAGCGUGAAGCUCAAAAUCCAGGUUGUUACCUUCUUGUUUCUGGACUUCGCCAUCUUGGCCGCCACCAUUUAGUUCUCUUCUUCACACCACGUUUCUUUCUUUUUUUUGCAACCACCAAACCAUACGUGGACUAAACGUGGACUAAACAUGGACUAAACGUGGACUAAACGUGGACUAAACAUGGACUAAACGUGGACUAAACGUGGACUAAACGUGGACUAAACAUGGACUAAACGUGGACUAAACGUGGACUAAACGUGGACUAAACGUUUGGACUAAACGUGGACUAAACGUGGACUAAACAUGGACUAAACGUGGACUAAACGUGGACUAAACAUGGACUAAUCGUGGACUAAACAUGGACUAAACGUGGACUAAACGUGGAC